rnacentral:rRNA from 1 species
GACGAACGCUGGCGGCGUGCCUAACACAUGCAAGUCGAGCGGGGUUGAAGCGAGAGGUAACUCGAACUUCUACCUAGCGGCGGACGGGUGAGUAACGCGUGGGCAACCUGCCUCAAGGUCUGGGAUAACAGCCCGAAAGGGCUGCUAAUACCGGGUAUGCUUGUGGCCUCGCAUGGGGCUAUGAGCAAAGGGGAAACCCGCCUUGAGAUGGGCCCGCGUCCCAUCAGCUAGUUGGUGAGGUAACAGCUCACCAAGGCGACGACGGGUAGCCGGCCUGAGAGGGUGACCGGCCACACUGGGACUGAGACACGGCCCAGACUCCUACGGGGGGCAGCAGUGGGGGAUCUUGCACAAUGGGCGAAAGCCUGAUGCAGCGACGCCGCGUGAGCGAAGAAGGCCUUCGGUUGUAAAGCUCUGUCUGGAGGGACGAAGGAAGUGACGGUACCUCCGGAGGAAGCCACGGCUAACUACGUG